GACGAACGCUGGCGGCGUGCUUAACACAUGCAAGUCGAACGGAGUGGCGAACGGGUGAGUAACACGUGGGUGAUCUGCCUUGCACUUCGGGAUAAGCUUGGGAAACUGGGACUAAUACCGGAUAGUGCAAGAUGAGCUCGCGGCCUAUCAGCUUGUUGGUGGGGUAAGGGCCUACCAAGGCGUCGACGGGUAGCCGGCCUGUGAGGGUGUACGGCAACAUGGGGACUGAGAUAGGGGCCAGAGUCCUACGGGAGGCAUCAGGGGGAAAUAUUGCACAACGGGGGGAAGCCUGAUGCAGCGACGCCGCGUGGGGGAUGAAGGCGUUCGGGUGGUAAACUCCUUGCGACAGGGACGCGGUACCUGUAUAAGAAGCACCGGCUAACUACGUGCCAGCAGCCGCGGUAAUAC
rnacentral:rRNA from 1 species